rnacentral:rRNA from 1 species
UGGCUCAGAACGAACGCUGGCGGCAUGCCUAACACAUGCAAGUAGAACGAGCACCGCCG